rnacentral:rRNA from 1 species
UACAGAGGGGGCAAGCGUUGUCCGGAGUGACUGGGCGUACAGGGCGCGCAGGCGGUGCGCGACGUGCUGUGUGACACCUCCCCGCUUACCGGGGAGGGGCCACGGUAGGCGCGCGUGCUAGAGGGAUUGAGAGGGAUGUGGAAUACCCGGUGGAGCGGUGAAAUGCGUAGAGAUCGGGUGGAACACCAGCGGCGAAGGCGGCAUCCUGGCAAUCACCUGACGCUGAGGCGCGAGAGCGUGGGGAGCAAACGGG